GAUGAAGAACGUAGCGAAAUGCGAUAAGUAAUGUGAAUUGCAGAAUUCAGUGAAUCAUCGAAUCUUUGAACGCACAUUGCGCCCCCUGGUAUUCCGGGGGGCAUGCCUGUUCGAGCGUCAUUUCACCACUCAAGCCUCGCUUGGUAUUGGGCAACGCGGUCCGCCGCGUGCCUCAAAUCGUCCGGCUGGGUCUUCUGUCCCCUAAGCGUUGUGGAAACUAUUCGCUAAAGGGUGUUCGGGAGGCUACGCCGUAAAACAACCCCAUUUCUAAGGUUGACCUCGGAUCAGGUAGGGAUGCCCGCUGAACUUAAGCAUAUCAAUAAGCGGAGGA
rnacentral:misc_RNA from 1 species